UUAUCGUUUUGAAAAUUUUCUAAGUGACUUCAGUCAUCAUGCAUCUAGUAAUUAACAAAAGUACAUAACUCUAUUAACUAACUAUGUAACAUAUAUAUAGCCACUCAAAAAACUAAUGUUGCUGAUGGUUUCUCAAGGCCUAGAAUUUGUCUUGUUAGAAUAUUUAUUUAAAUGAUGUGGAUUAGUAUUAGUCAGAACAUGUGAUUUCAACAUUCUUUCUUACUUCAAUGACCUUAUCUAGGGGUUUUCCUUUCUUUGGUUUUGCUAUAACAGGUAGUGGAGUGUUUGCUUAAUUAGCAAAGUCAUAGAGGAGUUUGAACAUCGCAUGCAAAUGCACCAAGAAACAGUAUGCUUAUCUCUCUCUCACUCAAAUAUGUUCAAUUCCCAUAUUUCUUAGGGUAAGAAAAAAUGUGCAACGAAGUUGAAAAGACAGAGCCUUCAUUUUCCUAGCAUUAAUAAGGUGCAAGGAAAUGGAAAAGAGAAUGAUAGGGAAUUGAUUUCUUGGGAUUAGAUAGAUAAGUUUUCAAUGAACUGGAAUGACAGCUUGCUUAACUAGUGAUGAUAGCCUCAUGUCGCAAUGGGAAGGAAGAAUAAACUAAAUAGUUUUCUCCAAUGUUAAGUCCUAUUUCUCUUUGGAGCCUUCAAAGCUAUACUUUGAAUUUGAAGAAUCAUAUAGGCACGGGUCUGAGAUGGCCAUCACAGAUCAAUCUGAUGAGCUUGCAACAAGUGAUUCUUCAGAAGAAUCAUACAUGAAUCGGCUAUCACAUGCAGUAAAACCAAUUUGUCCAAACGGAUCAGGCUCGAAAACAAAGAAAUCAACAAAUCAUAGACCAGCAAAGAGCUUAGAAACCAGGAGUAUGAAGCCAUCAUUAAUUCCUACUCCAUCAAGGAAACAACCUACCCUAGUUAAUCAAGCCAGAAAGAAUCCAGGAUCGGCCGCUGCAAAGAGAAAGUACCAGGAAUGGAAGAAGCACAGAACCUCAAAUUUUGGCAUGUUCAAGAAAAAAAUACCAAAAAGAAGCUCUAAUUAAUAUAUAUUUUAUAUAUUGCAUACUUGUCUAGUUUGCUUUCUUUGAGAAUGAUUAAUUUAAGCUCAAAAUUGCAAGUUUACCUCUUACUAAUCAUUACUCAGGAGAUUUGACAUGUUAAUAAAACAAGUUGUAAGAUUGAGGGUCAAUAAGAUACAAAUAUAGUGUUUUUUCAAUUCUUAUGAGGUUUAUUAAUUCUUGAUCCUCUAAUAGCUAUAGCUAGCUUCUGCCUUCUAAGGUAACAUCCAAAGGUGGGGGUGGAGGAUGGCCCUAUUUACCUUUGUA